rnacentral:tRNA from 1 species
GCGGGCGUGGUGGAAUUGGUAAACACGCCAGAUUUAGGAUCUGGUGCCUCGCGGCUUGGGGGUUCGAGUCCCUCCGCCCGCACCA